rnacentral:misc_RNA from 1 species
CAUCCUCAAAUAUUAAAAUCAAAACAGAUACUCGAAAGUUCACUUGUAAGCAUAAGAAAUCUUCAACAUAAACUUAAGAACACUGAUGUUGAUAGAGAAUCUUCUUCUUUUUUUUUUUUUUUUUUUUUCCCUUUUCCCCCCCUUUUUUUUUUAUUUUUUAAAACAUUUAAUCAUUGUUGUUGCAAAUUAUCUGUAACAUAACAUAUAGAAGAAUACACACAUGCUCACACAUAUUCUUACCAUUCAGGUUACUACCGCUAUUAGUACAUAGCAAGUGACAAAAAAAAAGGCUGUGUACAGAAUACUCACUUUCGUAAACAUUCAUCAUAAAACCCA